rnacentral:lncRNA from 10 species
AAAAAUGAGCCUGGGAACAAAUGGCUUCUUUACUUAAAACUUGGACCCGGCCGGCGAGCGUGGGCUGCCACUUGCUGGGUCACUGUCCGGGUUAAGGACGCUGUCGUUAGUGGAGACAAUGCAGGUCACAGCUGUGCAAACAAAGAGAUGACAGAGGGGCAUCAGGCACGGAAGGGCAUCAGGCAUAACAAGGAAUGGGAUUGGCCCCAGUGCCUGCCUCGACCUGUCUGGUGGCCACGAGCAGUGGCUUUGCCAUAGUGUGCCAGCCCCUUGUAGACUCCUUACUGGGAAGACCACUAACAGCACCAGGAGGAAAUGCUGCAGCUUGCCUCAAAUCCUGGUCCAGCCGCGUGUCUGCUGGUGACUACAACAACCCUCUUAACGGAUCUGAGCCUUCGUUCCCUCAUCUGUGAGGUAGGGCUGAGGGUGCUGUCCACCUGCCCAGGCUGGUGGGGAACGUGCAAUGAGAUGAUCCCUGUAACAUGCUUGGCAUGAAGCUAGGCACAGUGUAGGUGUGAAUAUAUGAGAGCUGAUUAAAUUAACCAACCUUAUUCCUCCGCAUCAUGACUUACCAGCUACUACCCCACCUGUGUCCUGUAGAACCAGGCUUGCAAAGCCUCUGCUACAUACUAAAGCCAGGGAGAGGCCACUGAUGGGCAAAAAGAGGAGGACAGAGACCUGGAAAACACUAACAAGGGCCCAGUAUAUGCAUAGGAAGCAGACGGCUGAUGUUCAGGUGGAGUUCAGGUUCAGUAUGCUCCAGCAGCACCCAUCGGAGAACCCAUUGGUAAGAGGCUUUGGAACAGAUGAUUUUCUAAAGCUAUAACUGUGGGUGGCUUAUAGGGGUAGUGUGGCCACUGUGACACAUAGGUCCCAUGCCAUACAGGACCUUGGAGCCCUGUCCAAAGCAGUGAUGGGAAAUGCACGUGACUGGGGGCUCUCAGUCUAGGGGAACUAGGAGGGCUUCAGAUCCCAGAGCCUGGCUGAAGCCCCAGCAGGACCACAGUGAUGUCUUGUCUUGGGAAAGUGUGUGCCCUGCCCCCAGAGACACCUGGACUUUUCAGCUCAGCGCUGCGGCAAGCACCCUAGCACAUGCCACCCAGGGCUUCCCAGAGGGUGGCCCCGAGUCAGGCAGUACACUAAAGGUUGGGACUCAAGUGGAAAGUUUGCUGAGAGAGUGAACAGGGGAAGUUGUUGAUCCUGGCCUCAUCUGCCAUUGCUCUCUGGGCACCCUGGCGCUGAGCCAGCCUCGGCUGCUGGCCUCCCUCAGCUGCUGGCCUCCCUCAGUUGCUGGCCUCCCUCAGCUGCUGGCCUCCCUGCUGGGGGUCUGCACCAGGUAGAGUGCUGUUUGGCUGAGAUUCACACACACAAAAAAUCUCAUUAAGCGGUGGAUUAAACAAAAUUGGGGCUUAUUUCUUUCUCUUAUAACAAAAGCCCAGAGGUAGGUGGCUGUAUUAGUCAGGGUUCUCUAGAGGAACAGAACUAAUAGGAUCUACGUAUAUACGAAAGGGAGUUUAUUAAGGAGAAUUGACUCAAAGGAUCACAAGGCGAAGUCCCACGAUAGGCCGUCUGCAGGCGGAGGAGCAAGGAAGCCAGUGGUGGAUCAGUCCAGGUCCCAAAACCUCAAAAGCAGGGAAGCCAACAGUGCAGCCUUCAGUCUGUGGCCAAAGGCUCAAGAGCCCCCAGCAAGCCACUGGUGUAAGUCCAAGAGUCCAAAAGCUGAAGAACCUGGAGUCUGAUGUUCAAGGGCAGGAAGCAUCCCGCGUGGGAGGAAAGAUGAAAGCCAGAAGACUCAGCAAGCCAGCUUCUUCCACUUUCUUCCACCUACAUUUUUUAAGCUGCGCUGGCAGCCCAUUGGAUGGUGCCCACGCAGAUUGAGGAUGGGUCCACCUCUCCCAGUCCACUGACCCCAGUGUUUAUCUCCUCUGGCAACACCCUCACAGACACACCCAGAAACAAUACUUUUCAUCCUUCAAUUCAAUCAAGUUGACACUCAAUAAUCACAUCAAGCAUCCAAUGGACAGUCAUCUGAACACCUCUCCAGAUACAUCGCCACUGUGCAGGGCUUGGGCUGGCAGAGGGUGCUGCAUAAAGACCCAACUUCAAAAGGGAAUGAGAGAAACAGAGCAGUUCAUGAUGCCCCAAGUCUCCCUUUAAAAUCCUUCCGAGCAGGAAUUAUCACAAAGACUCCCCACCCUGGCAGCAGGGUGAGCUCCUUGGUGACCCCACAGGCAGCCCUGGCCCUGCUCUCUGAAGCACUUCCCGGGCUUGUCAUCCCGUGUCCCCUGGCUUUGUGCCCUGGAAGGCCCUUCCUUGUGCAGCACCCCUCAUGGCUCAACUGAAGCAAGCGUAGGAUGCUACACUCCUUGGGCAAUACACAGAUUUUGCAGCCAUCUUCUCCAGAUAUAGUUUUGAAGACCAUCACAGGCUAUUGUAGGCCCCACUUGUGGCACAUUUUUGGACAGUAACAGCCCCUCAAAAUGUAUUUGCUUCCUGUCUGUUCCAUGUGCAAGUAACCAUCCCCUCAAUCUGCUUACAGUCAUGAUCUUAAACGGACCAAGUCUCCUUUUCUGUUUCCAGGAUUUCUUGGUUGACCAGGUCUACGCUUCUGCACUAGUUCUCAAGAGCUGCUGUAACAAAGUGCCACAAACUAGGUGACUUAAAACAACAGGAAGUGAUCCUCUUAUAGUUCUGGAGGCUACAAGUCAGAAAUCAAAGUGUUGGCAGGGCCACGUGCCCUCAAAGGCUGUAGGGGACAAUCCGCUCCUUGCUCAUCCAGCCUCUGCUGGUUUCUAGCAGUCUUGAUGUUCCUCGGCUCCUGCCAGCAUCCUUGAAAUCUCCGCCUUCAUCUUCGCAUGGCUUUCUUUCUUGUUUCGGUGUCCAAGUUUCUUCCUUUUUAUAAGGACACCAGUCCUAUUGGAUUUAGAGUCCAUCCUAAUUCAUUACGGCCUGAUUACAACUGCUAAGACCCCUUUUUUAAAAAAUAAGGUUACAUUCACAAGUUCCAGGUGGACAUUAAUUACAAGGCAACACUAUUUAACUCGGUGCACCCUCUGUCUUUUUAUUUCAUGAUGUCUCCCCAAGGCCUUCUGAAACAGUAGGCUUGGUAGGGAGGCAGCACUCUUGCUCAGCUCAUGGAAGCUAAGGAGGCACCUAGAGACCCUUGCACCUACUGCUGCCUGAGAUACAGGAGCAGAUGGCUUUUCUAAUCUUGUGAGAAUCCAGACUUCUGGAUUUUAAAUCAAUUUAGAUUGCAGGUCUCAGCUUGUAAGCUUCUCUUAACCGAAGUCAAUUUUCUUCUAUACCUGUUUACAAAGCCAUGGGUUCUCACCUGAAUUUCUCUCUUUUGUAUUUUGCUAAAAGCAACAAAGAGCAGCCAACACUCUGAGUUUUUCCAGCAGAUUCCUGGUGAGACAAAGUCGAGAAGGUGGAUAGGAAAGUGGUCUGCUUUCCAAGUUAUCCCAGGGGACAGGUCUACCAAAAUUUGCAAAACACAGCAAGGGUGAACAGCUUCCAAACCUGCAGCGUCUAGACCCUCACCUCCUGCACCAACUGCUACGCCAGUGGUGUACAUUUUAGUUCUUCGUUUUGGUAGCACCCCACUUCUGGCACUAGUUUCUGUAUCUGUUAGGGUAGAAGCUAAGCUGCUAAAAUAAAGAGACCCAACCAUAGUGAUUUUGAUAAUGCAGAUCUUUUCACUCUCUCAUUUUACCAUGCAGGGGUGAAAAACCAGGGCUGGAAGGUGGCUGGGUCACCUUUAACUUGUUGUUACAUGACCACACGGAGCUGCAAGGGAGGGUGGGUUAUGCAGUCUGAAGCCAGACCACGUGCACAGCCAGAAUGUGUAUGGGGUUCUACUAAGUUUGAAAAGGAAAAAAGGCAUCACUGAUAUCAGAAGAUUGAUUUUCAAUUUUUCUCGAUCAUGUAUUUGGCGCUUUAUUGAGCUUCCAAUACCAAAUCUCCCUGGCUCCGUGCUGCCAUUUCUGCCUGAAUAUUUUCAAGGAAACUGAGCACCAGAGGUGUAGAGUAACUUUCCUGAAGUCACAGAGCAAUGUGGAGGUAGAGGUGGAGUCAGUGUCCAGAUCUACCAGGAGCCAAUCAGUCUGAGUCUAUCUGGGCGGCUACCACAAAAUACCACAGACUGAGUGGCCUAUAAACAACAGACGCUUACUUCUCUUAUUUAUCUCUGGAGGCUGGGAAGUCCACAAUCACGGGGCUGGCACAUUCAGCAUCUGGGCAGGGCUACUCUCUCUUUUAACAUGGCUCAUUUUUGCUGUGUCCUCACAUGGGGCUGGCAGAUGGCUGGGUCACCCUUAAUUUGUUGUUAAUUUCCAUGGUUCCUCCAAUUUGUUGUCACUCUUCCCAAAGGGCAGGGACUGAAAGAGUCUAUGGGAGCUUCUUCAGGGACACAACUCAGAAGUUGUAUGCAUCCCCUCUGCUCAUGUUCCAGUGGGCUGAGCUUUGUCACAUGACCACAUCUAGCUGCAAGGGAGGGUGGGAGAUACAGUCUGAAGCCAGAGAGCCAUGCGCACAGCUAGAAUGUGUGUGGGGCCAGAGGGGAUGAACGCUGUGUCCUUACAUGGCAGAGAAGAUGGAAGGCAAAAGGGACUAGGGUGCUUGCUACAACCUCUUUGAUGAGAGCAGAAAGCCAUUCAUGAGGGGGGAGUUCUCAUCAUUUAGUAACUUCCCUGAAAGCUCCACCUCUGAAUACCAUCACUUUGGGGUUUAAGUUCCAACAUGAAUUUUGGAGGGACACGUACAUUCAAACCACACCACAACCUGAUGCUCAUUUCCUCUUCCCUCCACCACAGGGUGAGACAAUCCUGCACCACAGGCAAUAAAGAGACCGUGAUAAGCAAAACCAUCCAUCUGGCUGUGGUUUGGCAUGCACCCCACUGGUCUCUUGAUUUUUCCCAAUUUCCCGUCUGGAGGGGGCCAUAGCCUAGGCCAGAAGAUGUUCUUUUCCCCCCAUGAACCUCAACAAAUCACCAAGUAUGUAAUGGAGGAAAACCGAAAAUCAAUCAUCUGAUAACAGUUCUGCCUUUUUCCUUGCUAUUAGUAGAACUCCACAUACCUGCUGUGCCCCUGGCUAUCUGGCUUCAGAGUACAUCUCCCACCUCCCUUGUAGCUGGAUGUGGUCAUGUGACAAAGGUCAGCCCAAUGGAACAUUUGAGCAGAGGGCAUGUGUACACCUUCUGAGUCCUGAGACCUAAAUGCAACCCAUUCUCCAAAAUCCAGUUUGCAUGCCCCCUCCUCCAGGAAGUCCUCUUUGACUACUGCAGUUUUUUGUUUUGCAAUACCCGUUUUCUAUAGUAUAUUGUUUCUGUGUUGUUCCCAUUGAUACAAAUGGUAUCCUCUUGAGGGCUGUUUAGCAAUUGUUUCAUCUUUCCCUAAUCCUGAGCCUCCCCUGUGUCUGCCACGGAGCCCAUGGCCUGCCCUCACUCCCUGGGUCUUGAGUGGGCUCCCCUCCUCUGUGCCUCCUCUGCUCCCAUCCUUACCUGCAUCAUUGACUUAUCCUGAUCAACUUUUAAGUCAACUGGUUACUUGUCUGCCUCACCCUCAAGAUCACAACCACUUUGACAGCAAGGACUUUGCUUUAAAGUUUUCUAGGGCUGACAUAACAAAGCUCCACAGACUCGGGGUCUUGAACAAGAGGGAUUUAUUUUCCCAUAGUCUUCCAGGCUGAAAGUUCAAGAUCAAAGUGUCGGCACGGUUGGUGGCUCCCGAGGCCCCGUCCUUGGCUUGCAGAUGCCGUCUUCUCCUUGUGUCUUAUCAUCUUCCCUCUCUGCAUGUCUGUGUUCUAAUCCCCUCUUUCUAUAAGGAUGUCAGUCCUCUUGGAUUCGGGCCCACCCUAAUGACCUCAUUUUAACUUAAUCACCUCUGCAAAGAUCUUAUCUCCGAACAUAAUCACAUUCUGAGUCCUUGGGGGUUACAGCUUCAACAUGAAUUUUUUUUGGGAAACACAAAACAGACUUGUUCCUUGUAGCCUACGUGCUCUGGCCCCUAGUACAGAACCUCUCUAAUGGGCCAUGUGGUAGCAGUCACUGGGUACCUGAAUGAAUGUUUAAAACACGAAGAACUGAUCUGACAGCUGGCACUGCUUUGGUGAUAAUUUAUCACAUCGAUCUUUCGGGUUCAGAGCGAGGGCACCCCAACCCCAGAGCAAAGGAGCUCCUGAGGUGGUGGCCAACAGAAAGCUGGAAGGGAGGCCCAGCUGCACUCCAGGAGAGCAGACCCAGCUGUUUCAGGGGCUCUGAGCCAUGUCUGACAACAUUCAAUGUGUUCAUGGAAAAUAGAAUCAGCCCAAUACACCUAAGCGGAGAGGAGGGUUUCUUAAGUGAGAGCUUUUUCCCCAAAAGAGGCGGGUGCUCCGAGGUCAGGAGAUCGAGACCAUCCCGGCUAAAACGGUG